rnacentral:rRNA from 1 species
UACGGAGGGGGCUAGCGUUGUUCGGAAUUACUGGGCGUAAAGAGCUCGUAGGUGGUUUGUCGCGUUGUUCGUGAAAACUCACAGCUCAACUGUGGGCGUGCGGGCGAUACGGGCAGACUGGAGUACUGCAGGGGAGACUGGAAUUCCUGGUGUAGCGGUGGAAUGCGCAGAUAUCAGGAGGAACACCGGUGGCGAAGGCGGGUCUCUGGGCCGAUACUGACGCUGAGGAGCGAAAGCGUGGGGAGCGAACAGG